rnacentral:rRNA from 1 species
AAUGCCGGAUGUUCCACAUGAUCGCAUGUGAUUGUGGGAAAGAUUUUAUCGGCGUGGGAUGGGGUCGCGUCCUAUCAGCUUGUUGGUGAGGUAACGGCUCACCAAGGCUUCGACGGGUAGCCGGCCUGAGAGGGCGACCGGCCACAUUGGGACUGAGAUACGGCCCAGACUCCUACGGGAGGCAGCAGUGGGGAAUAUUGCACAAUGGGCGCAAGCCUGAUGCAGCGACGCCGCGUGAGGGAUGGAGGCCUUCGGGUUGUAAACCUCUUUUGUUUGGGAGCAAGCCUUCGGGUGAGUGUACCUUUCGAAUAAGCGCCGGCUAACUACGUGCCAGCAGCCGCGGUAAUACGUAGGGCGCAAGCGUUAUCCGGAUUUAUUGGGCGUAAAGGGCUCGUAGGCGGCUCGUCGCGUCCGGUGUGAAAGUCCAUCGCUUAACGGUGGAUCUGCGCCGGGUACGGGCGGGCUGGAGUGCGGUAGGGGAGACUGGAAUUCCCGGUGUAACGGUGGAAUGU